rnacentral:lncRNA from 1 species
UACAGCCAGCCAGCUAGCCGUGCAGCUAGCCAACAGCUUGUCGACCAAAUCCGUGUAUGCAUGUAGGAUGUAUACAUGAUUGAUCACUGCUGGCACACAGUGACGGCAGUGCACAUAAGAUGUGAUAAAGCGGCCCAGAAGCCUCCCACUCUGUAACAUUACAUUACAUACAUAAGACUUCUGCUCCCAGUCGACCCAGUCGACCCGGGUUCAAAUCCGCCUGCCGGCUCCUCGGGUGUUUGAGGAGUGAUGAAAUGGGAGGUGGCCCCCCAUCUUAUGGACGGUGUAGGACGUGAUAAUAUCAACUUGCGAGCUGACCAGGAACUAAGUUGAUGCGCCGUUGAUCCGCUAGAUUUGGUUGGAUGCUGGUGGUGAGUUGCUGAACCCAACGAAUACAUUCUGAAGUUGGAUGGGGUGACGGAUUAGGGUGCCCCUCUAGCAGGGGAGAGCAGGGACUGCCCCGGGAAAGGGGGCCGCUGGUGAAGUUAACCACCCUGUAACAACAUACAUACAUAAGAUGGAGAGCGCAAUCGACGACUGGCACAACGAGCCAGUGAUGCAGCAGAGGGCACAAAUCAAUCACGUGGGUUUGUCGUCACCACAACGCCACCAGCCCAUUUGCUCGCGAAAUGCACACAGUGAUUCACGCCAGGGAGAAAGAGAGGGAGCGCGAGAGGGGAGUCACCUACACAAUGGGCCGAUGCAGGUGGUGGUGAUGGCGAGGAGAGAAGAGAUAGGCAAGGGAAAUAAAAGUGGCCCAACCACCCACCCACCCACCCACCCACCCACCCAACCACCAGGAAGCAAGCCGCCGUCAUCAGAACCUUCAGUGAUUCUUCCACCAGUAACGUCAUGAUCCUAGCUAAGUCCUAUUUGUCGGCGCCAUCCUCUAAAACGAUAAGGGGUAGGCCAUGUGUGUGUAUUUGUGAGCGUAUGUAUACGAAGGGAAAAAAUAGAGAGGACGGAGAGAGAGAGAGAGGGAGAAGGCGAGAGAGGGAGAAGGCGAGAGGGGGAGAAGGAGAAAGAGAGAGGAGGAAGGAGAGAGAGAGAAAGAGAGAGAAAGGGAGGUGGGAGAGGGAGAGUAUGCAGCAGCUAACGGCCUGCCUUUCCUGCACCUCACUUGCUAGCUAGGACUAACCCACCCACCCGCCAGCCUCCUCUGAUAUACUCCUCUCCUCACCAAGCCCCAAACGCUUAACCAGCCACCUUCACCAACCCCUCACUCGCCACUAACUACUUCACAUCCCUUCACCGACCAGGUAUAGCCCCUUCCGACCGACCGAGUGCACUGACGGGCGGGCAGAUGCCUUGUGGCUGCAGGCUGGGCCCCAACCCCGCUUCGCCACUCUACAGAGCACGGGGGGCAGACAGCUCGCCAGACAGACACCCACCGCCCGCCAGCUUUCUCUCCACCUGCUAAUGAACCACUCACUCGCUCACUGGAUGCCCACCGACCACACACACGAAGUGGGCUCGUACCAGGGCCCCGGCGCACCCCCCCCCUAGCCCCCCUAGCUACGUAACACUCUUAACCAAGCCCAACCUGUAAGUCGUGAGGGAGGGCGUCUGGGCAAAACCAAGCUUGCCAGCAUAUCCAGUGCCAGCGUAUCCAGAAGCCACGGAAAACAAAGGAUAUAGGAAGAGGGAUAUCUAAUCGCCAUUCACAUGCCAUGCAAACAACACCCACAAUCCAACCUUCCACCGCGACCGUCACGGCUUACUGACGUGCUUGCUCUGCACUUUAAUAACCUACACUUCUUCUCACACCCUCACACGUUUAACUGAACCUGCCGCGGUUGCUUCCGCUGCGUGCCGACGGUUAGGAAGGACAGUGUUAACAAACAUACGCUACAGCUACAGCUACAGCCAGAGACUCACAUGCAUGCCUCCAGGGCGGCGGGGGCGGCGGUGGCAUACAUACAUUACUAAGUUGAUGCGCCGUUGAUCCGCUAGAUUUGGUUGGAUGCUGGUGGUGAGUUGCCGAACCCAACGAAUACAUUCUGAAGUCGGAUGGGGUGACGGAUUAGGGUGCCCCUCUAGCAGCGGAGAGCAGGGACUGCCCCGGGAAAGGGGGCCGCUGGCGAAGUUAACCACCCUGUAACAACAUACAUACAUUUGGAAGCUCCUGCAGUGUACCUCCCGCCCGGGGAAGGGGGAGGGGGGCCGUGUGUUUCUGGCCCCCCUGUAGGGCCCCUACCGCCACCUCCUAUCCCCUACCCAGCCACUCAUCGCCGGCGAUUGCGCGCCCUGCAGGCCGUGUCAAACCCGGCUGUUUAAGCCGGUGUCAUGAAGACGCCGUCGAAGCUGCGGAUGACCCUUUGGAGCGACAACAUGGCGUUCUGCACGUGCGUGUGUGCGUGUGUGUGUGCAGGGGGAAGGGAAAGAGGGGAGACGAGGGGCCGGUCAAGCAAGGGCAGUUAAUUCCGGGCGGCAGUCAAGGAAACCAAUAGCACCGAUAGAUACCUCACAGCAGCAGUAGCAGCAGCGGCAGCACAACAAUAGCAUAGGAAACCAAAACAGUGGACAGUGAUUUUACAACCGGCACAGCACAGACGGCGAAACAGGGGUCAGCAAGGUCCAGUACCAGCAACCCGCAGCACCACCAGCGGCCAGUCGGAGUGACGGGGGGUGAGGGGGGGUCCACCGACUAGUAGUGGGGGGGGGGUUGAGGGGGAAAUAGAUAGAGGUGGGGUCCACCGACUAACGCAUGUCGGCAGGCAGCAGCAGCAGACCAGUCAGCAAAGCGAGGAAUUUUUUAUUGAUCUUUAGAUACAUCUUUAAGCGGCGGCCGGCAUUCGGCAUGCACUUUAGACAAGCGCCGGGCGGCGUAUAAACAGCCUCCUCGCCGCGGGGUUCACCGGGCAGGCGGUACCAUAUGCAUAAGGCAACAGUGGACGCCGCGAAACAGGCCACAGCGGUCCGGAUGGGGCACCCCCCAGCCCCUUCUCCUCCUCCGCCUCCUCCAUCACCUGUAUGAGCUCCUCCUGCUUUUCUCUGCGCUCCAACGCGUGCAGCUGAUGAUGAGCUCCGGAACCACCCAUCCGCCAAGCCAGGUUCACCUGCAAGACCACACACAUACAUAUGUACAUACACGCACGUAUAUAUAUGUAUAUGUAUGUACGUGCGCCCUGUGCCCCGGCCCCUGGUAACGGGGGAGCCCUACCCCUCCCGCCCUGUGCCCUGUCGACAUACACGGACACGAACACGAACACGGACACGAACACGGACACGAACACGGAAAGGUCCUGCUAAUGGAAUGCAUCUGAUGGAGGCGUCAUCAGGUUAGAGGUUAGGAGGCGCCCACAGUGCCGCAACCCACGGUGCCACACAGGGUUAGGAGGCGCCCACAGUGCCGCAACCCACGGUGCCACACAGGGUUUCUGUGGGCGGACAGCUCUACCCCUCAUUUGGGGUCGUGGGGGGGGGCGGGGGAGGAACCGGCCAUAGGUCAGGAAACGGAGGCGAUGUUCGUUUCAAGAGCUGCUGCCGUACAUCACGUCAGAGAGCUGUCGUGCAGUACGGCAUACAUGGUGUUGACAUGUAUGGGGUUUUUCUAAGGGGCUCCGCCGGCAUCUUGCUUGAGCAGCCUUUGCCUUUGCCUUUGCCUUUGGCAGCCAGAUACUGCAUAUCCUCUUGAGUUUGUUUCUACACACGCACCUUGGCGGUGACCUCCGCGCCCGUGUCCACAAACUUGACGAUCAUUAGUUUGGCCACGGAGUGACGAACCUGCUUGUAAGGGAGGGGAGAAGGAAGGGUACGACGAAGCACAGACGAUUGACGAGAAGAAAAAACCAUUGACGGAUAUUCCCAGAUGAGGGUAGGGUAGAGAAGGGUAGGGUAGGGUAGGAUAGGGUAGGGUAGGGAAGGGCAGGGGAGGGGAUAUGGGUUGGUCAGGUGGGGGGUCAAAUGCGAUGUGGCUCCGUGAUGUAUAUCACGUCGCGUUGGUGUUGUUGUUGUUGUUGUUGUUGUUGGUGGUGGUGGGGGGGGGUAUAUGUGCGGGCAGGGGGAUGACGGUGAGGGGUGUGACUUGCUUUUGGCGACAAAGGGUUUAAGCUCUCUUCCUUACCCGUACCCGUACCCUUACCCCCUGUUCCUAUCCUCUCUCGUUCUCUCUUGGAAUUGGAAACGCCCUAGAGCCCCCCACCCUACCCUCGUCUUCGUUGCCCCGUCACUUAUUCGCCAGGACAGGGUAGUUGACUGGUAGCUGACUGUACGGGUCAGGCCCCUGUGUGGAUCAGGAACCCGUCAACGACGUGUGGUGGUUGCACAGUCUAUACACAUACACACAGACCCACAUGCACCCACGCGCGCGUAUACACACAGAUUCUCUCUCUCUCUCUCUCUUUCACACACACACACACACACACACACAUACNCGACAGACACACAAAACAGGCACGUUCCAACUGUCCGACNUUGUCAUUCGGCAGCGCUGCAUCCAGCGCUUCCUCAUUCGUGCCUCCACCUCCUGACGGUGAGGUUGGGUGACAGGGUAGGAGCCGCCGGUGGGUGGGGAAGUGGGAAAAGAAGAAGAACGAAAACAACAACAACAACAAUUACUUGUAAUUACAAACCCCUACUGGUGGUGGAGAAAGUCAGACGCGGCAAUCAAUGCGCUUCAGAAAGACCCAGCGAGGGGACCCCCCUUGGAGAUUUGGUUCCCACCACACUCUUAAGCAACCCCGGGGACAACAAACAAGGUCCGCCCAUCCACCCGCCCAUUCCACCUGGCCUCUGUCCAGUGCAGCUGCACAGAGGCCAAGUACAAGUUAGUUCGGGGCGAGGAUUAUGUGCAUGUGUGCAUGUGGCCCUAUGCCUCCCGCGCAUUCACCAUGCAACCAUGUAGACGGGCAGUCUAGGAGGAGAUGACAGAUGCUGCAUCAGGGAUAUCUACUGACGAUGGGGAGAGAGGGUACCGCAGGUACGGCAUAUCUCCAACGUGCCGUACGCACUUGCAGUUUGUCCAGUGCCGCGUGCGGCAGCUUCAUCCUCCAUCGGAGCUCCCGGGGGUUGGCCAGCAGUGGACUAGGCUUGCCAACCGACCAGUGCGGAGAGCGAGUGCGGUUGAUUACGAUACUGCCGCCAACCGCCAACCGGCAACGACCGAAGAAGCAUCGAUGAUUGAUCCACGCAGGGGUUAUGUGGACGCGAUAGGCCGGUUAGUGGAUGCAUGGUUAAGAGAAGAGGAAUAUAUGGACGGGGGAGGAGCGCGAGGAGGAGGAGAUGUUUCCCAAGACGUCAUACCUAGGUACAGCAGAGAAGGCGCACGACAUUGUACGACAGCCAGGUGUGUGGACUACGCUGCGCAUCCGCAAGGGAACCCUCACUUGUACGACACUGACUGUCUAGCAGGUCAAAGACACACAUACACACGCACGUGCGCUAGCUCCCGGGUGGUUUGCGCUCUCUUUCUCCGCGCAUAAUACCCGCGAUGCGCUUCUAAACACAGCACAUGCACCCCUAAGGACCUGAUCAUCGUGCUGCCGUCUGGAACAUCGCACCCGCUCCUUCCGUCGUCUCCCCAUCUACCCUCCUNNNNNNNNNNNNNNNNNNNNNNNNNNNNNNNNNNNNNNNNNNNNNNNNNNUGAGGAUCCCCAAGGGGGUCGGGUAGCGGUUGUGAGUGAGGGGGGAGGGGGAAGGUACGGUACGGCCCCCAGGGACAUGUGAUGGAACGGGGGUACAGAUGGGGCGGAAUGCGCGAGGGCGGGCGGGCGGAGGGCAGGUCAAGGGGGAGGGGGUGGAGAGGAUCACGGGAACGACAGCACAAACCCAUGUACGACCCAAAUAACGGGAUGGAUGGGAGAGAGGUAAGCAGAAGCAUACACCGUGGCAUACAGGAAAGAGGGCCAGAGGGCACAGGGCAGUGCGAGUGGGGGGUGGGGUGGGGUGGGGGCCCCCCCAUGGAUCCUGCCGUACACCUUCCUUCCUGUACCAUUAUGGCAGUUCGCCACACUUCCACUUCCACUUCCACACACACAUACAUACAUACACACCUCCCCCCCAACACACACACGCACACCUCGCACCACCGCACAAACCAGUGUUCACAAGUGUUCACAAGUGUUCACAAGCAAUAAGCAAUAGCACUAGCUAAACACCUAAGAGCACACACACACACGCACAUUUGUCUGGCUGGUGAGAUUUUGUGAGAUGAGACUGAUGUACUCUCCCGCCACGAAAGGCCUGUGUAUGGUAUGAAGGGAGACCCCCGGCGGGGCGGGGGGAGCCCCGGGCGGUGGGGGGGGACAUGUGCGAGAAAAACUCAGAGAAUGUUCUACCGGGGUGGCGGCGGGUGGGGAGAGGGAAAAAAGGGUAAUCAGUACGGGCGACCACAUGCGGGUCAUGUGGACAACGUGAGUGGCCCCCUGGAGUGAACGGGCUUUACGGGACAUAAGGAUCCCGUAAAGGACGGGGAAGAGGGGGGGAAGACGAACCGCAAACGAGUGAGGCUGCUGCUGCCAGGGCAAGAGAGGGAGGGGGAGCCGAGGUACAUGUGUGUAUUAUUGGGUCACAGGCCAUGUUGUGCGCCGUACAAGGAAAGUCAGUGUGGAUUACAGGAUGGAGAAAAACGUAGUCGUACAUGGGCAAAACACGUUGACACCGGGGGGCUGUGGGGGACUGUGGGGUUGGGGAGGAGGGAAAGGGGGGUUGAUGCAGCAGAGGCGGCGGAGAGGCGGGAGUGCUGUAGGAGCGAAUCCCCAAAAUCCCCGGGAGUUCAGCAUCGCGCCUGCAAACGCAAACCCAAGCCGUACCUACCUGCCGUACGCACCCGGAGCGGCAAGCCGCGAUUCCACAAUCCAAACCUUGCACACGUUCCUCUCCCUCCCUCUCCCAAUCCCUCUCCCCCUCCCUCUUCCCCCCCACCCAACCCACCUCGCCAGGAAUAUGUUAAGUCCGCUCACGAAGUUGCUCAGGACCUGCUGCGUGGCCAGACCUAUGAUAAUACCGCUGGCCCCUCCCACCGCCAACAUGGGCUGUGGGGGGGAGGUGGGGAGGGGGGAGGGGGGGGGGAGGGGGGAGGGAGGGGAAGAGGGGAAGGAAAUGGGAUGAAAGGGGAAAAUGGGAGAAACAUGAGCAAAGAAUAUACGACGGUCAGGGAAUGGGAAAGGGGAGUUUAAAGGCAAGUUCAGCGUUCAGAACGCAACACGUAUUGUACAAGAGGCAAGAGUACGUACGUAUGUAUGUAUGUAUGUAUGUAUGUAUGUAUGUGAAGAGCCAUCCAGGCGUGCCGGUGUGUUCAAUGCGGGAACAGGGAGCCAUAGGCGGUGGCGGGUGGUGGCGGGCGGGCAACGGUGGGGGGGCGGGAGGAAAGGAGAACAUCAGUACUCAAGAUGCUCGAUGACGAGGGAGCGCAUAUAACCCACCCACAGCCGCCGUUCUUCAAGCGGUUUUGGAUGUUCGUACCUUACCUUACCUUACCCCCAUUCCUUUCCCCCCUCGCCGUAUCUAUCUCUGUUGAUUCACCACUGGUCCGUCUCAACCGCCCCCACCUCCCUCGUUUCCUCCUCCCUCUUUCGGCGAUACACACACACACGCACACACGCACACACGCACACACACACACACACACACACACACACCUUCAAGUUGAUCCCCAGAGCCAUGGCCAACCAGGCGGCAGAAGCCACAAUCACGAUCCAGUUCAAUAGACUGGUAACAAAAAGUGAGAGGGGGGAUGGCGGAGGCCGCAGACGGGAGGUGUGAGAUACAGCUAUGGGAUGUGUUCGGACGUGUGUUUGGGGGUGCACGUGUGUGUGCGGACGUGUGUGCGGACGUGUGUGUGUGAGUGUGUGUGUGUGUGGAGAAGGGUGUGUGUAAACGGUGGAUGCGCGCUCCAGCGGACUACACCCGGCGGCCCCCCCCCUUGUAACGGUCACCUCCGCGAGCCGCCACGGAAAGUGGGGACGGGGACGGGGACGGGACACACGGGUUGGAACUGACCUAGGGGGGUCACGACAUGGGUACGACACGAGUACGGCAUGUCUACAUGUCGUAACGGCUUCAACAACUAGACCACCUACCGCCAGCUCAGCAUGUCGGAAGUCCUAACGGAACACGAAGCCCCCAUCCCAGCCCAUCCCAGCCCCUCCCAGCAGGGAAAAGCGGGAGGCCGGUCCCAUUUCCGUGAGGUGGUCACGCACGUCCCCGCUCUCAUCCCCACAUAAAAUCAUAUUAAUCCCUCCCUGGCCAGGCGGAACAAAUAUCCAAGGAAUAAACGAAAGCUAAUCACCGUCUUCACGCCGUUCGUACCCAGAACAUGUCGUACUCUUCUCCCCCUUCACACACACAGCGACCUGGUUUCGCUACUGCCCCCCCCCUUCCCCCCCCCGGGGGUGGUCCAUGAAACGUUUCCGUUCCGAUGUUUUCACACACACCCUCUCCCCGUUCCUCCUGUGCCGUACAUACCGCUUUCCCUCUCCCCUCCUCACUUGGACACGGGGUUCACGAAGCUGGCCACCAGCUCGGGGCCCUUGUCCAUGGCCUCGAUGGAGGGCAGCAGGUAAUGGGAGAACAGGAUGUCCUUCCAACGGAGAACUACUGCACAGCUGCAAAGAACCAAACAAACCUGGAAAACAAAACACAAACACACACAAACACGAAAUCACAUAUGUGUAUGUAUGUAUGUAUGUAUGUAUGUAUGUAUGUAUGUAUGUAUGUAUGUAUGUAUGUAUGUAUGUAUGUAUGUAUGUAUGUAUAUAUGUAUUUAUGGAAGGACUCGACGACGUCAUUCCAUCGUGCGAGGGAAAAGCCUGGAGGCACGGGUGCUCAUAAUUUACGACAAUGAAUUAAAUCACGACCUAUUUAGCUCUUUCUCCCCCCCAAAACACACACACACAUACACACCUUUCCUACCCUCACCCCGCAAUCCCCCCCACCCACCCACCCACCAGGCUCAUCUUGGUCAGCAAACCAUCCAGGGGAGUGAGGCUCUGAACCAUCAGCCGGACCAGAUCGUCUGGAGGAGGAGGGGGGGGGAGGGGGGAGGGGAAGGGGAGGGCGGCCAGGAAGGGAAGGGACGGGAAAGGAAGUCAAGUGAAGUGAAGUGAGGUCGAGAGGGCGGGGGGCGCGGGUUGUGCGCCGCCGGGGGGGGCGGAGGGGAAGGCCGUCUGGGGAGUAAAGUACUACUCGGAAAGAAAGGGGCGGGUGGUGGGAGAGCCUGUGGUGUGUUGCGGCGGGAUGGGACGGGACGGGAUGGGAUGGACGCAUGCGGGACCUGGAACAUUCAACCCUUCAUUUUCAAAUCUUCAAAAAACAGGAUUGAAUCCUGUCAGGAAGAAAACCAAAGCACCAAUCAGCCACACCCAUCCAUUUUCCCAGUCCCGACUUGCAAUCCAUUAUGUUCAGCAUUGCGUAGGUAGCUUAGGUGGGCCGCACCACCGCCGGACCGACCUCACAUCAUCACUUCAUCACGACCGAACCCAAACCCGAACCCAAACCCAACCUGCACUCACUCCUCCUGGGAGCGUGUGAGCCGUCCGGAGUUGACGGCUUCUGGGGGCCAUGGCCAUACGUUUGAAUUCUGUUCUAGGGUUGAACAACCCACAGAAAGCGCCACUCACACACCUCCACCUCCACAUCUACAUCCAUCCAAUCCAUCCACUCAUCCACCCGCUUGUUCGCUGAUUAGCUCCGGCCUUCCUUCCCCGGACCUCUCAUCCCUAAAGCCACUAACAAGGAAGCGGGACCCCCACACGUGCAACACAGACAACACAACACAUUAUUCACCACCUACACCCCCCGUCGAGGGGAAGGAGCCCCUCUGCGCAGGGGAAGUCCCACACAGCACAGAGGGGCAGUGGCACAUCACAUUUGGCUUGAAAUAAUUUGGCUUGAAAUGAAACCCCGAGGGGGCUCUCGGUGCUCCGGACACCUGUCGUCGUCGUGUCGGUGAACGGCGGUUGUUGUUCCCUCCACUUGUGCGACCUUUUGCGACCUCAUGUCAGUUCCGUCCCCCCUUUUUUUUCCACCACAGCUGGUUCGGUGCGUCCUCUGCACCUAUCACUUCCCGCCCCUCCCUCCACCUUUCGCCAGGCUACCCCCACCCGCCCUGUCAACCAUCCACCCGCCCUGUCAACCAGGGUCCUAUCGCCGCCGUCAUGACGUCAUCCCGUCUUUCUUCACCCAGCCACUCAGCCACCCAGUCACUCAGCAAACACCCAGCCACUCAGCCACUCACCCACCCACCCACCUAGCCAGUCGUUCGGCAGUCGCGGGUUGAAAGCCGUGAUGAAGCCGUCAAAUAUGGCGGUGGUGUUCCGGGCCACGUUGAUGGCCAACACACUCGCCAGAGUGACCCGGGUCAGGGGGGUGGUCAGAGCAUCCGCGGCCAGGUACAACACCUCGCCACUGCCGAGGCUGCCACCACCGCCGCUGCCACCUGCGCCACCACCGCCGCUGCGCUUGCUGCCACCGCCGCCGGCACUGGCUGGCGCGUAUGGGUGCUGAAGUGUACCGUUAGAGGGGUUAGGGGGGAAGGAAUGGGGGAGAGCGGAGGAGGGGGACAGGGGAGUAAAAGGGGAGGGGAAAGCGAGGGGACGUGUGUGUUUUUAUAACCUGAUCCGCUCGGAGGAAAUGGCGAGGGAGGGGGAGGAAACAGAAAAGUACAAUGGUAGGCGUAAACUUACACGUUCGUGCCCGCGCGUGCACGCACAUACACAUACACACAUACAUCUGUGUGUGUGCUCUUCAUCUCAUCUCACUACCCUUCCCUGCCCGCACCCCUCCGCCCGCCCACCUAGCUGCCCCACAACGCCUCCUACCCCCAGCCAGCUACCCUCCUGCCCUUCCCAGCUGUCCGUCCCCCCCCCUCCCUCUCCCCUUCCCUCCCUCUCUCCCCCCUAGCUCCUGGUCACCUCCGCAUAAACCCCUCCACUCCCACUUCCGUACCCCUCUCCCGCAUCAACCCAGACACGCACUCCCACCUCCGCACUUCUCUUGGCCAGCAGUGUGAGCAGCCAGUACGCCAGCAGCGCUGCCGCCACCACCGCCACCACCUCACUGGCGAAGCGUCGAGCCAGGUAGAACUGCCAGCUGGACUCACCGCCCAGGGCCGAGGUGAGGGGGGACAGCAGCGCAUGGUAAAUGACCUGGGGGUCCUGCCAGCGGUCAGGAGGGGAAGGGGGUAAGUGGGGGGAGGUUGUGGUAAGUGGGGGUAAGUUGUGGUAAGUGGGGGUAAAAGGGGGUAAGUGGGGGGAAGUUGUGGUAAUUGGGGGUAUACAGGAGAAACGGCGGGCGUAGGGUGGAGGGAUUGGUUCAGAUGGGCCGUGCGGGCCCGGGGGUUAAGGCAGGGGGAGGGAACGGAGGACCUGCCGGGGUGGGGGAAAUCAAUCGUUAUGCAAGCGUGGUGCAUCGCAAGAGACAGAUGGGUGGGGAUUCUUGCCUGCGUAUGAGGUGGAGGAGCUGCCGGCACUGCGGCAGCUGCAACGGCGUCCGCUGCUGCGCGUUUCAGGCCAUGACAUGUCGUUUCGGGGCGACUAUUGGUGAAGGGCCGGGCCCGCUGAGUACGAGCUUGAUACGCCGGUGUGCAGCCAGGUGAUGAGGCCGUAAGGAAUCUAAUGCCGAUCUUAGGGGAAUAGGUUCCUGUUAAUGAAGGUGACGACCGAUGGGAAGGUACACAGCGGACAUUUCCCGAUGACCGUAUCAUGGAUAUAUCUUUUUCUGACCCCAAUCAGUAAUUGUUUUCGCCGCGAGCUCAAUAAGCUUCCAAGGAUAAUGUAGACGAUAGAUCAAGCGUGGGACUUGGAGUUCAAUUCAAGUCAAACGCGGCAAGUAUAACUAUGCAUACAGCGUAUUCAGUACACAAUGCUUCACACCGCACACUUUACCAAGUAUGAAACAGACAAAGGCGAAGGGUUGACUAGCCUAGAUCUAAAGCGGCCUUGCAUGAGGACAACCCGUACCAACCUACGGAUAAUGGCUGAGUGGUUAGAAUGCGUUACAACUGUGUUUGCAGUAUGUUAACAGAUAUCGGCAAACGCGUAUGUAAAGGUUUCGGGAUGAGGGCCAAUUUCUUCCUAAAUCUGCCUAUAGCAGCGGAAAUUCGCGUUUCUGGGGGUUAUCGUCAAGAUCCUUGCUGCAAGUUCUGUAGAUGGCCCUUCGGGAUCGUGCGGGAAAAAAAUUUAAGCUGGGGAUUGUCCUAUUUCUGGAAGCGACUGGGUUCGGGGACCCGAAUUUCCGUUUCAAAACUUCGGUAUGGCAGGAAAGAACCGAAGCGUUUGCCAAUGCCUGUUUAUUACACUCCUCCUCAUGAAUUGAACUUAUGUAUACGUUAUUUUCCACGCAAGGUCUGAUUUGUGGGCUGCCGUAGCUGCCACAUUCUUCCGCUGACAGCCCUUGGAUCUUAUUACAUGGCAUCAGUCCUUUCUCUCACUUACGGCUUAUUCAUUUUUUUGGCAUAAGCGAAUGGCAUUAGUUAGAUGGUGUUUUUUUGUAUUUUUGCCAGGGUUUCAGCCUAACUGAAAUGGAAGGCCGCAAGGAGGAGAUUGACAGCUAUGUGCCGCAGUUACACUAGACCUGCGAUAGGUACUCUCGACAACGCCGCGAGAGUUGAGGCUGUUGAAGGUGCCGUGAUGUUGUGCGGAAGUUGUCGUGCCGUUACAGCAACCUUGCCGUAUUAUUGGAGAUUUCUGGGCCUGCUGAGGAGGAAGCCCAUAUCGCCAUGUGAGGUAAAUCCGUCAUGGCAUAGGCCUUAUCUCCGAAUGUGCAGGUUCAUUGCUCCGCAUAUACGGCCGCUGUGCAUCCCGGACCAGCAUAGGGUCGCUCUUCUGUAUCCAUAGAGCUCCGUUCGCAGUUGUGAUGCGCAUGAGGUCAGCAGCGGCACUGAGCUGGAGCAGCAGCGAGCUGUCGGCGAAUAAGCGCGACGAAUGCAGCCAGAAGCCCAGAAUAUCCGCAGGAGCAUCAGCAUCAGCAGCAGCAGCCGCUGCAACAGGGCCAGCAGCAGGGCCAGCAGUAGGGUCAGCGGUAGGGGCAAUAAAAACGACGUCAGGGGUGAUGCAGGAUUGGCGGAGGAUGUUGGCCUUGAGCGUCGUUUUCGGCUCGGUCAACAUAAUGCGAUGUCGUCCGUCUGUCGCUCAUAACUUACAUAGCAACAGGACUGGCGGAGGAUUCCUAUGCAAGGGGAACUACCUGGGUGGGACCUUUGAGAAGACAUAAGAGGUUCCGCCUGCGAACACCGAUUGCCGUACAAACGCACGUGCAUGGAUCCCGUCGAAAUGCCGAGCAACUGCCGAACAGUCGGAUGCAGACGGGGUACGCAUAAUGGGCGCGUCGCAUUAUGGGAGACUUUAUCACAGCAUAAAUGAGCUUGAUUGGUCAUACUAACGGGACAGCUUUUAAAGCUGUGCGCCCAGUGAAUUACUUUGCUGCCUGUCAUGGGCGCACAGGCUGCUUAACAAGGAAUAAAACUUGCUUGUACAGCUCCCACGUAGCUUCUCAAUAGUUCUCGAUAACGGCCAAGUUUACAGCCCAAUGUUUCUUGACGUUACAGCGAAACUAAAAGCGAACGCUGCAAGUGCUUUUCAGGAUGGAAACCUACAAAUCUGUGUGGCAGCUACCAGACAGGCGAUCGAUAUACUGGAUGGCGUCCUGCAAUGCGGGGACGGCUCGCGGCGUGGCGAGAUUAUGCGGGAAUUGUCAUGCCUUCACAGCAACCUUGCCGCAGCACUCCUGGAGCUCGGGAACUAUGAACCAGCUGCAGAGGAAGCACGUAUUGCAAUUGAGCUUUAUCCGUCAUGGCAUCGUCCAUAUCUCCGACUGUGCACCGCUCUGACGGCCUUGCAUCGAUCCCCGGACCCAGCAGCUGCCGUCUUGCGUCACGCCUUGGAAUCUUGCAAGGACCCGGCCCAGGUUAUGGAGUUGAAGGAUGCACUUCGCGUCGUGCUCCAACGCCCAACGGAUUCCGCCAUUAGUCGCUGCGGCGAUGCGCGCCAACGCGACCCUCUGGCAGCGACGACAGCAGCAGCGUUCCCCACGCAGCAGCCACCUCCGCAAGCACAGCAGGACACCAGCUGCAAUCACCAGGCACCGGAUAGUUCCGGAAGUGCCAAACCUCAAGCUUGUCCCAAGCGGCUUCGCACUUCGGGCGGCAGUGGAUUGCAGCUGGAGUCUCUACCGCCUGUUGCAUUAAAUCCCCCCGCCACUGCCGGCUACACGCGGUAUAAAGCCUGUGGAGAACAUGUUGCUGGUGGUUCUUGUAGGCUCGAAGCUGGUGCUGCUGAGUCGUCACAUCCAGUGAAACGGCCAGAAGAAAGCCAUGUGAUAACUCCUGACGUGUCAUCGACACACCAUCACCAUCAGAAUGAGCAGCCGCAGCCGCCGCAGCCACAGCAGCCGCAGCAGCCACAGCAGCCGCAGCCGCACCGUGUCCUCCCCGUGAUCGCCCUGUGCGGUUUCCUAGGUGCUGGCAAGACCACCCUCGUGCGGCACCUGUUAAGCUGCAUGAGCUCUCCCUCGCCCUCCGAAGCCAUAGCACAUGUAGGCUUGCUGGUCAACGAUUUGGCUCCUGUAAACAUCGAUGCACAGCUGCUAACACGACCGCUGCCACCACCACCACCGCUACUGGCACCUCAUCCAUCAGUGCGCCGACAGCCACUGCGUUCAUCACCGCCACCAUCAGAGUCAGCCACGGCAGCGGGGGCAGCUAUUCACAACAUGGGUGCCGCUGCAGCUAAUGCGGCGGCAGCGGCAACCCCCCACCACAACCACCACCACGUGGCUGUGGGCGAGCUGUUGGAGCUAUCCAACGGCUGUGUGUGCUGCAACCUGCGAGGGGCGCUGCAGGAGCAGCUGCUCCGGCUGGCGGCUCGAGAUCCCCCCCUGGAGUACCUCGUCGUGGAGUGCACUGGCAUGGGCGCGCCAGAGCCGCUGGCGGGCGCUGUACAGGCGCUGGUGGCGGCGGGGCUGCAGCUUCUGACCGUUGUGACGGUUGUGGACUCGAGCACGUUCCUCGAGACCAUCAAGGGCAAUAGUGGGGUGUGGGGGGGGGGAGGUGGUGGAGGUAGAGGUGGCGCCAGGAGCGCAGAGGUGCUGGCGCUGUGUGGCGCCGCAGGGACUACACCAGCUGGUGGAGGAGCGGCGGCGGUGAGGGCUGGUGGUAACACAACUCAUCCGCGGCAGCCGCUGGCGAAGCUGCUGGUACAACAGGUGGAGUCAGCUGAUGUGGUAUUGCUGAACAAGUGUGACAGGCUGGGAGAGCGAGUGCGGCAACGAUGGCGGCAGCGGCAGCAGCCGCAGCCAGGUGAUGACGAGCACGGGGCGACGGAAGCGGGAGUGGAUGAGGAUGGGGAUGAGGAUGUGGCGGCCGAGGCGCUCUUGGAGUUGCGACGGGUGCGGGCAGUUGUUCGUGCGCUCAACCCCUCUGCCCGCAUACUGCAGUGUGUUCGGUGUGAGGUGCCGCUGGAGGUGAUACUUCGCCCUCAGGACCAGGACCUACCGCUGUACCACCACCACCACCACCACCAACAACAACAACAACAACAACAACACGGGCCUCUACCGCCGACCACGGCCACCCAGGGUGGUGGGACGCAAGGGCAACACCAACAGCCGCAACAGCGGCAACAGCAAAAGGGCGAACAACAACAACAACAACAACAACAGCAGCAGUCGUCACCGCAGCUGCUGCAGCCGGAGCAGCUACCUGUUGACAGGCUGCCAGCAGUGAUGAUGUUGCCUCCUGAUGGGGAGAAGGCUGACGGGGAGAUCGUCGUCGGCGUGGCGCGAGGAGGAGUGGACAGCCGGCAUGACUCGGAAGUGCUUAGCCAGCUGCAGGCAGCAGGCUCGACAGCUGCUGGUGCUGGUGCAACUGCAACUGCUGUCAGACCAUCGCUGGGUAUUAAGGAGGGGGACAAGAACGAGGACAGGGCCCAUGAAGAGGAUGAAUACGGCAUCGGGUCGUAUGUUUUUCGCAGUCGGGUGCCGUUCCAUCCUGCGCGGCUGUGGGCGCUGCUGCAGGCGCUGCAGGCUGCUGAGCCGAGUGAUGAGCAGGAUGGUGAUGCUGGAGGGGCCGCGGCGGAGGCGAUGGAGGGAGGUGCGUCGGAGGAGAAGGAUCAGCGAAAAGAGUUGGAUUCAGGGCCCGGGCCCGGCGGUGGGGCCGGGGUUGUCCAGGGGGUUGUGGCACAACAAGUCCCACCCUCCCAGCCACUUACAGACCAGCCAGUGACACUGCCUUACCAGCCACCACCGUUGCUUCGAGCGAAGGGCUUCUUCUGGAUUGCCAGCCUAUCGCAGGUAGGCCGGGGGUGGGUGGGGUGGGGUGGGUGGGGUGGGUGCAAACAGCAGCUCAAGCUUAAAUGUCUUGUUGUGAUUGCAUGGCAAAGUUAGUUACAUAUUCCUCCGGCUCGAUUACCAUUCCUUCCGCCAUUAAGCGGUUGUUCAGUUGGUGCUACGUAUGUAUGUAUGUAUGUGUGCAUGUAUGUAUGCAUGUAUGCGCAAGCCUACUCAGUGGCGUAUGCGGGGUUAGCAGCAUGCACCCUUAGCUAGCUGUGCGUGUAUAUGUGCUUGUGUAUGUGGAUGAGUUGAUGUUCCGGCCUCAUCACGCCACUCACUGGUCCUCCCCUACCCGCACAUUACGCCACUCACUGGUCCUCCCCGCCGGCGCCAUCAGGCCACCUGGGAGCUGUCCCUGGCGGGAGGUGAGGUGGAGCUGGAGGCAGUGGGCAGGUGGCUGUGCACUAUGGUGGACCCAGAAAACUGGCCCGUGGGUCGGUGGCGACCACUGCCCUCCACUGAUAACAACGACAUCACCAGCAGCCACAGCGGCGGCAGCGGCGGCGGCGUUCAUGGCGUUGCCGACUGCGGCAGCGGUGAAAUCCCGGAGGGUAUUCACGACCCUGAGGCUGCUGCUGCUGCUACUGCUGCUACUGCUGCUACUGCUGCUACUGCUGCUGCUGCUGCUGCUGCUGCGGACAUUUGCGACAUCCACUCGGCAGCACCUCCCAGUGCUUGUGGUGGUGGAGCAGCUACUGCAGCUGAUGACCAAGAAGACAUUGAUGUCGCGACUGAAGGCAGCGGUGGCAGUGGUCAUAUUGGUGUCAGCGACGGUGCUGGUGGAGAUGGAGAUGGGGCGCGAGCUGGCGGGCACUGGCACCGGCGGUGGGGUGACCGGUGUAACGAGCUCGUCUUCAUCGGCGUGGGGCUCGGGGAGUUGUUGCAAGGUGGGCAGCCACCGCUGGUGGAGGCGGCAGCAGCCCGCCUGGCGGAGAAGACGGCGACGGAGGUUACGGAGGAGACGGCGGAGGAAUUGGAUCCCACAGCCCGAUUGAGGGCAUUGCUGCAGUGGGCUCAACUGGUACCGGAGGAGCUGCAUUUGGGGGAGGGGGUGUGGGCGAGCUGGGGGGAUGAUGCAUGGCUGAGGAUGCUUGAGCAGUACUAGGCUAGGGGCAGGAGGAGGUGCGUGCAGGAGUGUGUGCUGGGAGGUGUGGGGUCAACGAACGUCGUCAUGGGGGGUAAGGUACUGCGGGAGGAGGUCUGAGGAGGCUUUGUCGAGAUAGUGCUGCUUAUUGGGAGGGGUGGGGCGGGGUAAGUGAGGGGUGCCAGUGGACUGUUUUGCCAUGUAUGUGUAUAUACCAUCAAUACUGUUGUAUUUAUACUAUUUUGUGUGUACAUAUGUAUAGAUAAACACAACAGUGUUGGUGAUUAGAUUAGUAGUAGUAAUGUAGCACAUAUGUUACAGCACCAGCCACCAGCAGCCACCAUUUGCAGUGGCUGGCUGCCGCUGGAAAGGCCUCUCGAGAUGCUGCCAGUGCUGAAGCGCUUAGCGCGUGUUUUGUCGAUGAUAUGUGUGCUGUACUGUGUACAACAGCUACUACUACACCAAGCAACCUGAACAUCCCCGGUACGGAAGGGAACGCAAGCUAGGGUCUGUUAUCCGUAACAAUGGCUGCGGCUGCAGCGCCAUAUGUAUUCAGCUCUUGCUCUUCCCUUCGGAUUACAGCACACACACAUACACACAUAACAUACACGCACAUCCAGACCGUACUGCGGUACAUGUACACAUGCGUGACAAACAAAUAUUUUAUUGUGUCAAACAUGCAAGGAAUUUUCCAUGAUCGAUUGAUAUGGCGGGAUUACUUUUGUGGCAUCACCCCCACGAAACCGAUGCACGGUUGGGUGCUUAAGGUGGUACACCUCCUUGCCCAAGGCCAGUUGACGGUUACAUCGGGCUUAGCAUGGCUUGUCGGGCAACCAGGAGUACGGCAACACUUGACACCACCGCCAUUGAUUCGGCAGGUUCUGCAGAUGCUGUUGUGUGUUGGUGUGUGUUGCUGAACUCCGAGAAAACACCGCUACGCCACGCAGCAGCAGCAGCAGCCGGACUGACUUCACGCACUCACACCCGGCCCCUGCACGCACAAUAAAAAGGAGGCCACAGCAUUCUUAUGACACUGCGAGUCCUCGCACCUGUAAAAAAAAGCGCCAGCACCAUUCCCGCAAGCCAAAAAACAAGUUACAUACUGCUACCAUCAUUGCAACCACCCCCCAGCAGCACGUAGAAGCAUAUGCACCACCGCCACCAUCACCACCAACAGCAGUAGCACUACUACCAGUGCCAACCAAAGGCCAACACACAAAAGGCGCAACAGCUUACAGCGCCUACUAAGGAAUACAUCCACCUCCCCAGAGCACAGUAUGCGCACACGCUGCAUUUACAGACAGCUUCGCUUACGCUUAAAUCAUACAGCUUUCCAUGCACAAUAUCAUCCACGUCUUAAAUGCGCGCAUACAGGUACGCAUACAGGAUAGGCAAUUCACACGUUCCAUGACACCAAAAUGUCGUACUGAUUCGUACUGAUUCGUCGCAUGCCGAUUGUACUUCAGCGCCGCUGUUAAAUGACGACGCCUUUAAAUCAGCACGCAAUAAAUUACGCAUUCUUAAAAGGAAAAAUCUUCGGAUGCAUCCAUCACCCAGUCAAACAUUUUUAAUAGCUCCCAAACAAAUACAACGACAAAAAGAUGGUGAGCGCGUAGGCGGUGUGGGUGUACUGGCGCCUGGGGUGUACUUGGCCACCCACAGUAAGUAUGGCGGUAGCGUGCAUGUCUAAACAGCGACAACGAAUACGGUUUCCGUGAUCAUACUGCUUCACUCUUCGGAACCAGGCAAGGUCAAGGCGCGCUGCAGCAGCUGCAGGGCUUGGCGGCUGGGGGGUCCUGGCGCGCGUCAGUCGCUCGUCUGCAGUGCAUUACGGUUAGCUUUAGAGGGGUCGUAUAACUCGUACUUGUACGCAAGAAUAGGAAGUUGAGUGCGGCUUGAAACCAUUAUGCGCAUCCAAACAUAUCUCAAAAAUGAAUAUAUAAUUAACAGACAUCCAUAUACAUAUUUAUAAAGAAUGGAACACUGUACGCUUGCUAGUCACGGCUCACCCUUUAGCAUGCAAGUUAACUUGAUCGUUCUUCCUUACGGAAAUAGCGGCCGGUCAGUGCCGACGAUGGACGUUAGGAACGCGGGCGCUGUGUCUAGGCACGACGUUUGAUCGCGCAACUUCUGCGUUUCACAAGUCUCACCUAACAUACGUUUGUACCUGUACUUGAGUUAUCUCAUCCGUCAUCACCUCAUCUGAUUUGGCGUAGUAAGGAAGGUCCCGAUGACCUGAUGCUGACCGCCGUGUCAGACCGCACCUUACUUACCCCUAGGUACGGCACUCACACAUACAUACAUACGUGAACGGAUUAGGGUGCCCCUCUAGCAGGGAAGAGCAGGGAACUGCCUCCAAGGGAAAGGGGGCCGCUGGUGAAGCUAUACCCCCCUGUAACAACAUACAUACAU